AAGAUAUCAUCCAAAUCAUAUAACAAGCUAUUUAAUUUAAUUUCUUGUUUUCUUGUUAAUGGUUGCCGGGUCGGGGCUAAUGGAAGAGGAGAAGACUUUCUUCACUUGUAGUGGAAUAGCAUGGAUCACAGGGGGAACCAAAGCUGGAACCUGUACAGGAAUUUUCCUCUUCAGGUCAUGUAAAGUCAGUGAUAUAUAAGAAGAACUUCUGCCGGCAACCCAAACAGUUUCUCAAAUGUUGGAUGAAUCCCUAUGAGAAAAAUUCUCGACUGCAACUUUGGCCGACAAGGAAGGAACAAGCUUGCUCUCUCAGGGGACACCCGCCUCUUGGAGUUCAGAAAAUUGAUCUCGGGUGGCGUAGUGGCAUAGCUUGGUGAAAGGGGCCAUCCAAAUCAAAAAGUUCCACAUCUAGCAAUGGAGGUUCUUCCGUGGCAUCAAACGCAGGUAU